GUUAGAAGGUGGCUUUUAGCUACCACUCAAGGAUGGGCCCGCGGCGCAUUAGCUAGUUGGUGAGGUAACGGCUCACCAAGGCGACGAUGCGUAGCCGACCUGAGAGGGUGAUCGGCCACACUGGGACUGAGACACGGCCCAGACUCCUACGGGAGGCAGCAGUAGGGAAUCUUCCGCAAUGGACGAAAGUCUGACGGAGCAACGCCGCGUGAGUGAUGAAGGUUUUCGGAUCGUAAAGCUCUGUUGUUAGGGAAGAACAAGUAUCUGUUGAAUAAGCAGGUACCUUGACGGUACCUAACCAGAAAGCCACGGCUAACUACGUGCCAGCAGCCGCGGUAAUACGUAGGUGGCAAGCGUUGUCCGGAAUUAUUGGGCGUAAAGCGCGCGCAGGCGGUUCCUUAAGUCUGAUGUGAAAGCCCACGGCUCAACCGUGGAGGGUCAUUGGAAACUGGGGAACUUGAGUGCAGAAGAGGAGAGCGGAAUUCCACGUGUAGCGGUGAAAUGCGUAGAGAUGUGGAGGAACACCAGUGGCGAAGGCGGCUCUCUGGUCUGUAACUGACGCUGAGGCGCGAAAGCGUGGGGAGCGAACAGGAUUAGAUACCCUGGUAGUCCACGCCGUAAACGAUGAGUGCUA
rnacentral:rRNA from 2 species